rnacentral:rRNA from 1 species
UCGAGCGAACAGACGAGGAGCUUGCUCCUCUGACGUUAGCGGCGGACGGGUGAGUAACACGUGGAUAACCUACCUAUAAGACUGGGAUAACUUCGGGAAACCGGAGCUAAUACCGGAUAAUAUAUUGAACCGCAUGGUUCAAUAGUGAAAGACGGUUUUGCUGUCACUUAUAGAUGGAUCCGCGCCGCAUUAGCUAGUUGGUAAGGUAACGGCUUACCAAGGCAACGAUGCGUAGCCGACCUGAGAGGGUGAUCGGCCACACUGGAACUGAGACACGGUCCAGACUCCUACGGGAGGCAGCAGUAGGGAAUCUUCCGCAAUGGGCGAAAGCUUGACGGAGCAACGCCGCGUGAGUGAUGAAGGUCUUCGGAUCGUAAAACUCUGUUAUUAGGGAAGAACAAAUGUGUAAGUAACUGUGCACAUCUUGACGGUACCUAAUCAGAAAGCCACGGCUAACUACGUGCCAGCAGCCGCGGUAAUACGUAGGUGGCAAGCGUUAUCCGGAAUUAUUGGGCGUAAAGCGCGCGUAGGCGGUUUUUAAGUCUGAUGUGAAAGCCCACGGCUCAACCGUGGAGGGUCAUUGGAAACUGGAAAACUUGAGUGCAGAAGAGGAAAGUGGAAUUCCAUGUGUAGCGGUGAAAUGCGCAGAGAUAUGGAGGAACACCAGUGGCGAAGGCGACUUUCUGGUCUGUAACUGACGCUGAUGUGCGAAAG